rnacentral:lncRNA from 1 species
CAGCAAAUGAGCACAUGGAUGAGAGUAACCCCAGGAUGAGAUCUCAGUGGUCACAGGAAGUAUCUCUACAGUCUUCAUUGUCUUGGCUGCAAGGACUCUGUUUAACACUUGCUGGUGACUUCCUCAUAGCUGCUGGAGCCCAAUGUUUAAGGUCUUCUCGAGGAGAUCACUUCCUGCCUAAUUCAGCUGAACUCCCAGCCAACUGGAACUCGACUUUGAGUUCUCAGCAGCUCAGCUGUUCAAAGACAGAUGGCUUAGGACUCAAAGAGGAAGGACACCCACAGCGGUCAAGGCCAGGAGACAUCCAAAGUACAGAGACUGCACUGUGGUCACUUGACUUCACCUGCUCUCAGGAUGCCUCUUGCACAGCUGACUCCAGUAUUUCCACCUUGCAAGAAGCAAGCCUCUGUACCUCCUCUUCACUUCUCAGAGGUCUGGACCUGUGGGAAGCCGUUGCAGAGUGACAGUUGCAGAGUGGCAGUUGGCUACUGCUGGCCACCACACAUACAUAGGCAGUGAAGGUUCUUUUGCCAAGACAAGUUAACCAAUCAGAUGUGAGACACGCCUCUCCUAGGCCUAUAAAAGCAGCACCAGUUCUGGGCUUGGGGUCACUUUGCCUCUACAAUCAAGUUCUCCCAAUAAACGUGUGCAGAAGGAUCCUGUUGCA